ACUCUUUGUUCGAUAGAAUGAGAAAAAGUACACGUUGCAAAGUUAUACUGUUAUGGCGCAACUGAGUAGUCUAAUGUUGUUCCGGUUUUGAUUCUUGUGAACGUUGAAAAUUCGUUCCAAAUUUACACUCUCGGGGCAUAAUAGAACUAUAUAAUUAGGUUUUACUCUUUGUUCGAUAGAAUGAGAAAAAGUACUCGUUUCAAAGUUAUACUGUUAGGGCGCAACAGAGUAGUCUAAUGUUGUUCUGGUUUUCGUUCUUGUGAACGUUGACAUCGAUUCGUUCCAAAUUUACACUCUAGGGGCAUAAUAGAACUAUAUAAUUAGGUUUUACCCUUUGUUCAAUAGAAUGAGAAAAAGUACUCGUUGCAAAGUUAUACUGUUUGGGCGCAACUGAGUAGUCUAAUUUUGUUCCUGUUUUUGUUUUUGUGAACGUUGACAUCGAUUCGUUCCAAAUUUACACUCUCGGGGCAUAAUAGAACAAUAUAAUUAGGUUUUACUCUUUGUUCGAUAGAAUGAGAAAAAGUACUUGUUGCAAAGUUAUACUGUUAAGGCGCAACUGAGUAGUCUAAUGUUGUUCCGAUUUUGGUUCUUGUGAAUGUUGACAUUGAUUCGUUCAAAAUUUACACUCUCGAGGUAUAAUAAAAUAAUAUAAUUAGGUUUUACUCUUUAUUCGAUAGAAUGAGAAAAAGUACUCGUCGCAAAGUUAUACUGUUAGGGGGCAACUGAGUAGUCUACUGUUGUUCCGAUUUUGGUUCUUGUGAACGUUGACAUCGAUUCGUUCCAAAUUUACACUCUCGAGGUAUAAUAGACCAAUAUAAUUAGGUUUUCUCUUUGUUCGAUAGAAUGAGAAAAAGUACUCGUUGCAAAGUUAUAUUGUUAGGGCGCAACUGAGUAGUCUAAUAUUGUUCCGAUUUUGGGGACCGUCCUCUGGCAAGGACCGGUUCCGAACGUUGAAUAUCCCCUUUGCCAGUUUGUGCAGCUUUACGUGGACGGCUCAAAGGGGUCGCUCGCCCGACAAAGGUGACCACCGGUUGGUCCCUCACUGCGAAAAAUACCCAGGGAGGCUGUUUCAAGAAGUGAAAAGUGAGGGUUUUAUGUUGCAUCAAGUGGGUUAUGAGAAGAGGCUAGGCUUGUCCGCCUCUCAUCGCAUCACUUACACUUCAGUGGAUGCCCUUCUUCACGUCGUGAUGUCGUAGUCCUCCAUACUCACGACCUCUGAUGUCUACUCAUCUUCUGGCUCUCUGAAAGGUUAUAACAAAAAAGCAUCAUAUCGGAGGAAAAGAGGAGAAGUAGCAGAAGGCUAGUAGAAUGAUAGAAGGAGACGAGAUAGAGACUGAAAAAGAGCGAGAAAGAGAGGUAUUGACAACUAAGACAGGAAUGAGAAGCAUAUCACGCGAGUUACACUAUUCAUCAUCUCCUCUUGCCCAAAGCUUGGAGCUUGGUAAUGAUGUAAACCUCAACCUUUGAUGUGGUUUCAAUAGGCAGAGGUAGAAGUUUUAUAAUACGAAUAAGCGCGGUUCAAGACUGAACCUUAUUGAGCUGCAUAACUGCCAGGUCGAGAUAUGUUUCGACUCGAAAUCGAAGCUCGCAGCCGGCAGAGUAGUCGUAUCUCAUCAAUGGCCGCAUGAUGCGUGCAUUGUGCUUUUCGAUAGUCUUUCGAGAAUAGGUUGGCCAGAGCAUACUUGAACUGGGCUAUUUAAUUCAAAUUAAUUUCGGCACACCUAAAUUCUAAGGUCCCGAAGUCGUAGGCACAGACGGUGUGUCGCAUUACCGUCGAGUAGCAGUCGAAGUUAUCGCCAAGAGAGACCUUCGGAGCUUCGUGUCCAUGCCUAGAAGGCUAACGGCGUCGAGACGGUUCUAAGGCACGACACAUCGCAAUCGAAGAGCUUCCACAGAAGUCCACCCACCGAGGGGUGGAGCAUCACAGUAAAACCCACCAAAAGUCCUCACCAGGGCGAGAGUGGCGCUACACGAGCUAACCAGAAGGGUGCGGGCGAUCAACAUGGUCGGACUUCACUUUCAUGCUUUAGAUGUCUGAUGUCAUCAUCGAAAGACUUAACUAGUACGAGUUUAUUACAUAUUGUGAUAUAGUCAAUUACUUGACGGAAUUGUCUUAACCAUGGAUUAUCGCUGCAUAUCCUUGCAUGCUAAGGAUGGUAUAGCUCUGCGUUUGUUCAUCAUCGUCAAGACUGAUUUAGUAAAACAUGCAGAGGUGAGCGAUCGUUUGAGAACAGACACCCAAUGAAAAGUCGCCCUAGUCAACUAACGAUAAGAAUUAUUGUUUCAGUAGAUGAUAUAUGAACCUAGUGAUACCUUGGAACACAGUUGUAUUCAAGAACUCUGUCAAGAGAACGAGUGGCCAUCUAGUUAACCUAAACAUGAACGAGUGCAUUAAGUAGCCGGUAGGCAGCGCAAAACCUAAGAAAACUGCCUGCAGCUUGUCGAGAGACUACAUCAGUAUCAGAUAGUGAUGGAUCAGCGCCACCAAUCAAGUUGCUACUACACCGAGGCUAACCUCUCGGUGCCACGAAAUUCCGCCGAGUAUAGAUAUGCCCCCUGUUGAUCAGGGCGAUAUUACGAGAUUAUCAUGACAGAGAUUGAAUCGAGCUCACUUAGCUGCUGUCUUACACCUGUAGGACAGUAAGAAUCCUCGCACCUUCCUUACGAUGCUUUAAGUCGUUACACAACUCCCGGAGUGCUUCUUCGGCGAAGAUAUCUCGCAAGAUACUGGCGGGCCAGUGUAUGCCCUGGAGCCAGUGUAGUGUCCGCUCUCGGAAGAUAGGAUCCGGUCUCCGGGUAAGUGAUAUAGCUAGCCCACUCAUCCCCUAUGCAAGCAUCUUAGACGACGUAGAGGUACACGUAUCAGAUGUCACAAUGAAAACCCGACGGCGAGCGAAACUUGCGUUCGCCGAGAGAUACGAAACUAGAUAUUCCACAGAAUAUAGCCCGAAGAUCCUGUUCAAUCAUGUCCAUGAUGCUGACUCACACUUAGCAUUGUGUUUGAUGGAAGCAUGUAGUCCCGAAAGGCAUCACCGAGACAGCCUAGCAUUCUUACUAUGAGUUGUGCGAAGACAUUCGUAGUGGCAUCCUGAAUUAUGAGGCAUUGUAGUACCUGUGGCGAAUCUAGUUUCUAUGGACCAUCAAUUCACUCUCAGCCCGGAUCUUAAGCUGAAUGGUACCGCUUUCAGUUAAUAUAAUCUAUCUAUCUGCAUAUCUAUCUGUAGCGCGGGGCUAAGACGCUAGUGGGAGGAUCCGAUGCAAUGAGAUCUUCGGAGCAGAUACACGCCAGAACCCACUGGGAAACUAUUCGUAGUUCUCACUCGCACAGAGUACUAUCGCUGCACUGAGGCUGGCUUCCAAAGAAAGGAGACCGUGUUCAAUCUGGGCAGGGGAUACCCCUGUUUCUUACACUGUGACUUUGUUGAGGCGGCUCGAAUCGCCGGAAGGCGUAAGCGCCCUACGGGUUGACAGUGGUAAUCCAGACGAAGAGGGUUUUUCACUUAUUUAAAUAUCAAAUUUUUUCUUGACUUAGCGCCUUAUUUAGAAGACAGGGCAGCACCUCUAGUCGUCUAGGGAGAUCACACCUGGCUCUAUGACCUCCUUUAUCACCCUACCUCAGCUGGCGCCUUCCCUUUACUUCAGCUCCCAGGCAAAGCAAUAUAAGAUUAGUCAUAGCCAUCGAGGAUCGAUGGUGGUUGCCAGACACAGUGAUCUCAUACUGCGGUCAGCACGAGGUCAUCCUGUUAUCUGGUAGUCUAGAGAGUUGUAGGUACGAAUUCACAGACUACAUGGUCAUAUCCAAUGAGUGGUCGCAUUCUUAAUCUUAUGUCUAAUAUACACGGCCGGGCAUUCAACAUUAUUGCCCUAGUAAAGAGAUAUCGCAGCGAAAUAGAGGCUCUAACAUGCUCGGUUAAUAAAUAUAUUAUAAGAAGUUAGCUCGGCAAAAUAGGAUCACCCAUCCUCCGCUCGCAUCGAUAGUAAUGUUGCCUAGUGAAAAACAGUCCAUUAGGUUCGAAUUUUAUUACUACUCAGAUCAGGCUAGAAAAACCCGAUCAUCGUUGUACCAAGAAGUAAAGCGGCGGUGAGUACCAUACGAGCAUAAGUGUAUGCUCAGCUGACAGGCGAGUAAGCAUCAUCCUGCUAGAGGUCGUCUCGAUCUCGAAGUGUACACAUCGAGUGUUUUGCGAGGAAAGACCAAGCUCACAUGCAAAUGAAUGCGAAAUAAAGAGUGGCGAUGCUCUUCACGUACUCGAAAAUGAGCAAUUCUAGCAUCAGAUGAAAUGUUGAAGGUAUGGACAAUACCUCGCAAGACAGUCGCCCACACCAGUGCCCUGCGUGCUGAGUCAGGGCGAAGACCUCUCUGCGCAUCUCCAGAUGCGCUGCCGUGCCCCUCAGUUUGCGCCUCCGUCCCGCGUAAUUGUGGUUGUUAAUUGUUAUGUACCCAGUUCAACGUUGUUCCUUGGAACCUUGUUGCUCACUAAUCUAUGGUUGAGCCUUGGCGACAGAGGAGGCUGUCCGUUCGGCGUCGGUCCGCCCUUCGAGUAGGGGGACCCCGGAGCCACGAAGCAGCUGCAGCUGGGGCUCCGCGGCUUCUGCGGGCGUGCAGGCAUGGGAGGAGACAGGGACUCCCCCUGAGACAUCCGCCACCUCCUAGGACACUGGCUUGCAGGGGAGCCACCUCGCACUGGCCACGAACGGAAACAGUGUCCUCCUCUGCGACCAUUCGCCAUCAACCGCUGAGCUUUGCCGGCAGAUGCACACAACGGUGGAUCGCCCCUCUGCUGAUUGCUCGAGGGCGCACUCUUUGCUCCCUGCUAGAGUGCGCGGAUGCUUUGGCGACCGGUUACUAUUGGAAAGGAGCCGCCGCACGUCUUAGAAUGGGAACGCUUUCUGUUCCCCAUCGCCUCCGAGGCCCUUUGCAGCUCGGACUCUCGUAGACUCGCUCUGGAUGACGAGGCUAUCGUCGCAAGCACUCCGUCAAAACACGUCAUCGUGCCAUGAGAAGCCCAGCAGCAUCCUGAUGUGGGUCUCGAAGCCCUCGCGAAGACUCUCGCCUUGUGCGCUCGUCAAAGUAGGCUCGAAUAGAGAGCAAGGGAUCAGCCUCCACCAUGGCGGAAGACGAAGUCCUGCUCGUAGCUUCAGCUACGGUACGUUCCCACUGCUGAAGAUGUUCUAAAGCUCCGCGCUCCGGCCCAGCCUCCAAAUUUUUGAGUUGUCCCGAAAGAAUUGCUUGGAUUGGAGAUCUCCGGAACUCCCCCCAGGGUUGGGAAAGGACGGCCCAGCUGUGAGCGAGGUAGAUGUCGGCAGCCACCAAAUAGAGCUGCGUCCGCCGGUCCGAGAAAGUGUGCGGCCAAGGACGCGGUACCUGGCUCAUCCGAUGAGUAUAAGUCGCUCUAAAGCUAGGUACUCUCACAAUGUCGGUCAGGUUCGAUGAGCAGGUCGCGUCGAUAGAAACUCCUAGUUCUCUUCCUUCUUACGCUCCACGCGUAUUCUUGCGGGUCGAAUUCCCAUGAACUCAUCCAGCUUCGCACAUGCAUAGCGGGCGCCUCUGCUGCGGGGUAAUUUGCAUCCUCAGCUGGAACCUCUGGUGGUCGUCCGUCGUCGUCGAGCUCAGCAAGCAGAUAAAGAUGGAACGGAGCCGAGGGCCGAGCUACCUAGUGCAGGCGCACCUGAGGAGGUGGUGGACUUCCUACGGAGACUCUAAGAGCAGGCAUGACCCAUUCCAGAACCGGCGGCGUCGGGGAAGGUAGUCGCUUAUAUGGGAACACAGCUCUAGGCGGUGUGCGGCUCGUAAGGACUAGCUGGCAUGAGUGCUGCGUCGGAAACCGCCGCCAUGUGGAAAGGAGUCGUCAUCCUGAAUCCCGUCCCGUCAUCACUGGAGGCUUUAGACCUCGAGUGGUGAGGCUCGAGCUGCUUCGAUAGCAGUGAGUAUCCGCCCUGCUGGAUGUGGAAUGUUUUUUUUUACUUUUCUGGUCGAUCUGCUCACCCUACUCCUGCCCUGCCCCACCUGCCUCUGCCGUUGCUCGGAGGCCUGCUCUUUUCCUAGGAGGCUAAUUGACUAAGAGCCCUCAUGGGCGACGGCGUCCAGAAAGUUUGAUGGAACUAGCUCCCACGAACUCACGGAAGAAGGUGGGUCCGCUACUCCACGAGCCAAUCUGUAACACAAAGCACGCGUCAGCACGAAUAAUCGAGACUCGACCAACUCCGCCUACGGACUUGAGGCCCACAGAAACUUGCACUCACGUGCGCUAUGAGUAUUUCGCCCGUAGUCCUGCCUAUGGGUCAACCUAACCAAUGGUUCAUUUCAUUGAUUUUUCGAAAACCAACCUGUGAAUGGUAGUCUCCCCCUGUAUUUUGAGCACGGUCGUCGUAGCACAAGUACAGAGGAGAUCUGUCCCGUCGUGAAGUGGAUUCCCUGUAAUUGUGCGAUCUGACAUACUCUGGGGUCAGGUAUUUGAGAAAAACAAAAACAAAUUAUUAGUCAUUUCGCGUCAUUUCCAAACGCGCAACAAGGACCUCAGGGGUGACAGAUUAAAGUGGUAUCAGAGCCGGUUCAUCAGCUGGACAUGUGUGGCGAGUCUCGCUAUGAGCCACGGGUCGGAUGACGGGCUAACGAGCGACGUCUUACAUCGCGCUGGUGAUCUUGGGCUGUGUGUGUUGUGGACUCGACAGACGUCAGGACUGCAGCUUAAACGGGGAGUCCUGGUGACACCGCCAUAUCAACAUCGAUGAAAUGGAAGGUGUUGUUUAUUCAGGAGUUGAUAAGCACGACUUAGACACUAGCUAAAUAAUAACUGGCUUAGAGCAUUUGGGGUCUGUGUUGGUAUCAUGGGCCAACGAGUUACUCUUAAUUAAGCUUAGUGAAGCUUGGGCCUGGUCGUUACAUUGGUAAUCAGUCAAGUCGAAUUCUUUCAGCUCAUCGAAGCUACUGCUAGACACCGUCGAUUUGUUCAUGAAGUUAUUGUCGUUUCGAACUGCGAAUGAUGACCUGUCGUUCGGAUUCAGUAAUACCGAUUUUGCUGGGAGUCCACCGGGUUAUACCCAAAGCUCUCCGAGCUUUGCCUCAAUGUAAAGCUUGUGAAGCGGUGUGCGAUUUUGGAGAAGGCUGCAACGAAUCGCAAGAUAAUACCUGCACUGCGCCAAACCCUAGAAAAACUCCGGACUUGGUCACCGAAAGUUUUGGUUCAAGACCAGCUACACCACGCGAGGCUAUCUUCUUCGGGUCCGACCGAAUCCACGCCGGAGUAGAAUAUGCCGUCUCUCAAGAAUGACCACGUAGCGACGUCACGGAGCAGAAAUCCACUUCUUGAGCUUAGCGUUACAACUGUGCCGCCGCUGAAGUAUCUGGCAAUUAGCUCUGUCGCGAGAUGAUCCUCAGGUGCUCCCUACAAUACUCCGCGAGUAGAUCAGGAGUCAUCAUGAAACCGACGACAGACACUGAUCCAGAUAAGCUCGGAAGCCCUGUCAUUCAUGUCGCAUAGAAGGCUGCGCGGAGGAUUGGUGAGCCCGAAAGGCACACCGUGAACUCGUAGUGGCCGUAACGAGUCCGGAAAGGCGGUCUUUCGGCACAUCCUCAGCCCGGAUCUUUAAGCUGAUGUAGCCUCCCGACCGCAAGAUCAUCCUUGGAGUUAGCACCGACGAUCCUUUGACAAGGCUGGUCAUGGUACGAAGCCUGAACUUUCCAGUACGCGCUUUCUCAUCUUUAGAGUGACGGUCAGGUCCAGAGCGACGUGCAUCCAGACUUCUUGUACGACAUGCUCUGGCGCAGAUCGCGUCUGGAUUACGGUGGAUCGGAUGGUCUCGGUAUUACCGUUGGUGGAGUUUCGCGACUAUAAUAAACAGCUUUCAGGGUCGACAUCGGGAUGGCACCAUACCGAGGCGUCUGUUAUGGGCGUUCGAUGUCGUUCUCAGCUAUCUGCUUGGCACGCAUGUCGAAGACCGCCGGUUAGUUAGGACUACUAGAUUUAGUAGGAGACGCCACAUGAGGCAAGAUCCGCAUUGGGCGAGAGAGCGGCUUCAGACCUGCAACAGAUAGAAUCCAAGGGGCGACUAGCGCGGCCCAGGCGGAGGCCGGAACCUAGAGUUUCAGUCGUGAGUCAUGUGCUGCUCAAGUGUCGCCUUCCAGGAUCAAUACGGUUUGUUUGCGGAACAAGCUUAUCGCGCUGGUUUCGGUGGGACCCGUUCUGAGAUCCUACGAGCUGCGUUGGUCCGGUGGGCUUACCAGAUUGCUCUCAUACCGCAGUCUCGCCCGAGUGCAGCAACGUUUUUUCACGUGUCCCAUGCUUCGGAUACCACAUCCCGAUCCGUCCCCACAUCAUUCAGUCGACACGCAUUCAGCUAUGCGGGAGGAUCUCGAGCUAUGCAGUGAGGCUCCCGUUGCACGAUCCUGGUCACGUGAGGUGAACGCAGUUGCCGGAAUAGGAGCAUAUCCGUAUUCAAGGUCCAGUGGAGGAGAAGCGCGACGAGAGGGCUGCGCCUGAGGCUACUGGGAGCUUGAAUGCGUCAUGGCGGUCGAUCAUUAUCCACAGUUAUUUUGCGAGGGACGUCCUUGUNNNNNNNNNNNNNNNNNNNNNNNNNACUAAUUAUAUAGUUCUAUUAUGCCGCCGGCGCAAUUGUUAUAUAUUUGGAACGAUCUUAAAUUUACAAGAACCAAAUCGGAACAACAAUUAGACUACUAAGUUGCGCACCUAACAUAUUAACUUUUGCAACGAGCACUUAUUUCUCAUUCUACAAACAAAGAGUAAAACCAUUAUAUUGCUUAUUAUGCCUCGAGACAGUGUAAAUUUGGAACGAAUCAGAAACUUGUCAACGUUCACAAGACAACAAACAUGGACGAAAAUUAGCACUACUCAGUUUGCGCGCAACAGUAUAACUUUUGAACGAGUAUUUUUCUUCAUUGAUCAAUAGAACAAAGAGUUAAAACCUAAGUAUAUUAUUUUUUAUACCUCCAUUCGUGCUAAAUCGUAGAACGAGGUCAAUGUCAACGUUCACAAGACCAAAAUCGGAACACAUAGACUACUCAGUUGGCACCAACAGAUAUGAACUUAUGCACACGAAUACUUUUUUCUAAUUCUAUCAACAAAGAAGUAAACCCCAUAUUAUAUUGUAUCUUAUGCCCCAGAGUGUAAAUUUGGAACGUAACCAGAUGGCAAGGUUCACGUAAGAACAAAAAACAGGAACAAAAUUAGAUACUAGUUGCGGCCAAAAAGUCUAACUUUGCAACGAGUAUUUUUUCUCAUUUCUAUUAUCAGAAAGAGGUAAAACCUAAUUAUAUAGUUCUAAUUUGCCUGGAGUGUAAACUUGGAACGAAUCAGAUUCGUCAACGUGAUUAAGAAGAAAAACCAGAAAACACAUUACACUACUCUGGUUUGCAGCACUAACAGUAUAACUGCGACGUAGUACUUUUGUCUCUUUCUAUCGAACAAAAAGUGAAACCUAAUUAUCAUUCUAUUAUGCCCGGGCGAGUGUAAAUUGUGGAAGAUCUUCAACGUUCACAAAAGAACCAAAUCGGAACAACAUGAGCACUACUCAUUGCGACCUAACGUUAUAACUUUGCAACGAGUACUUUUCUGAUUUCUAUCAACAAAGAGAUAAAACCUUUAAUUAUAUCGAUAUCUAUAGUCUCGAGAGUGUAAAUUGGACGAUAUCAGAGUCAAGUUCAGAAAGAAUCAAAGAUUCGGCGAAGAACAUUAGAUACUCAGUUUUGGCCCUAACAGUUAUACUUAAUGCAACGAUCUUUUUCUACGUUCUAUCAAACAAAGAGUAAAAUACUAAUUAUAUUAUUUAUUAUACGCUCGAGAGUGUGAAUUUGGACGAAGGUCAUAUCAACGUUCACAAGAACCAGCCGGGAGACCGGUCCUUGUCCGAGAGACCGGUUCCCGAGAGCAAUACUUUCGGGACUUAGCCAAAUUUCGGCUUCUCUCGCUGGGCCAACGUUCGGGAACCGGUCCCUGCCUGCUAGGGACAGGUCUCAUCAGAGACCCCCGCAGCCCAGCCUGAUGGGACCGGUCCCUCCCUGCCAGGGACCGGUCCCCGAGAGCAUUUCUUCUCCAGUGCAGCUUUUGCACGGGUGCUCUCGCGGACACCUCCUCAAUGCACCUUAUGCAUUGUGAUCACCUUCGGACUUUCCGAAGCUUGCACGCACGACAACCAGUCGAUCUUUGACGAAGUCUAAUCCUCGAGUUUCGAGAAUUCACUUCCCUUACACUCUCCCCACUUAAAAGAGUUUCGUCCUCGAAACGAACUCAACAAUAUUAAAUUCAUCCAGAAUACUCAUACCUCGGUGGCUCACUCAAACAAGUGAGGAUGAUUCGCUCUCAUCUCCUCCUCGAGCUCCCAGGUGGCUUCGCGGUCAGCAUGAUUGCUCCACUCUCAGGGCAUAAUAGAAUAAUAUAAUUAGGUUUUACUCUUUGUUCGAUAGAAUGAGAAAAAGUACUCGUUGCAAAGUUAUACUGUUUGGGCGCAACAGAGUAGUCUAUUGUUGUUCCGGUUUUCGUUAUUGUGAACGUCGACAUCGAUUCGUUCCAAAUUUACACUCUCGGAGUAUAAUAGAACUAUAUAAUUUGGUUUUACUCUUUAUUCAAUAGAAUGAGAAAAAGUACUCGUUGCAAAGUUAUACUGUUUGGGCGCAACUCAGUGGUCUAAUUUUGUUCCGGUUUUUGUUCUUGUGAACGUUGACAUCGAUUCGUUCCAAAUUUAUACUCUCGGGGCAUAAUAGCACAAUAUAAUUAGGUUUUACUCUUUGUUCGAUAGAAUGAGAAAAAGUACUCGUUGCAAAGUUAUACUGUUAGGGUGCUACUGAAUAGUUGAAUGUUGUUCCAAUUUUGAUUCAUGUGAACGUUGACAUCGAUUCGUUCCAAAUUUACACUCUCGGGGCAUAAUAAAAUAAUAUAAUUAGGGUUUACUCUUUGCCCGAUAGAAUGAGAAAAAGUACUCGUUGCAAAGUUAUACUGUUAGUGUGCAACUGAGUAGUCUAAUAUUGUUCCGGUUUUUGUUCUUCAGAUCGUUGACAACGAUUCGUUCCAAAUUUACACUCUCAGGGCAUAAUAGAACAAUAUAAUUAGGUUUUACUCUUUGUUCGAUAGAAUGAGAAAAAGUACUCGUUGCAAAGUUAAACUGUUUUGGGCGCAACUGAGUAGUCUAAUUGUUCCGUUUUUGUUCUUGUGAACUUGACAUCGAUUCGUUCCAAAUUUACACUCUCGGGGCAUAAUAGAGAAUAUAAUUAUGUUUUACUCUUUGUUCGAUAGAAAUGAGAAAAAGUACUCGUUGCAAGUUAUACUGUUAGGCGCAACCUGAGUUGUCUAAUGUUGUUCCGGUUCUUGGUUCUUGUGAUACGUUGAAAUCGAUUCGUCAAAUUUAUUACACUCUUCGGGGGGCAUAAUAGAAGCUAUAUAAAUUAUGGUUUUAAGCUCUUAAUUCGAUUUUUAGAAAAGAGAAAAAAGUACUACGUUGCAAAGUUAUAGCCUGUUAGCACGCCAACAGAGUAGUCUUAAUUUGUUCCGGUUCACAAAGAACGAAAACCGGAAACGAACAUUAGACUAUCGGUUUUCGUUCUGUGAACGUUGACAUCGAUCGUUCCAAAAUUUACACGCCUUUGGGGCCAUUAAAUAGAACAUGAUAAUAUGUUUUAUCCUUUGUUUCGAUGCGUAGAAUGAGAAAACGUACUCUGUUUCACAAAGUUAUAGCUGUUUGGGGCCGCCCCCCCAACUGAGUAGUACUAAUUUUGGUUACCCGGAUUUUGUUCUUAUAGUGAACUGUUGACAUAACGAUUCGUUUCCGUCCUUAUAACUAUUGAAUUUAAGAGGAUUUAGACUCCCUUUUCGCUCAUGAGGGACCAANNNNNNNNNNNNNNNNNNNNNNNNNNNNNNNNNNNNNNNNNNNNNNNNNNNNNNNNNNNNNNNNNNNNNNNNNNNNNNNNNNNNNNNNNNNNNNNNNNNNNNNNNNNNNNNNNNNNNNNNNNNNNNNNNNNNNNNNNNNNNNNNNNNNNNNNNNNNNNNNNNNNNNNNNNNNNNNNNNNNNNNNNNNNNNNNNNNNNNNNNNNNNNNNNNNNNNNNNNNNNNNNNNNNNNNNNNNNNNNNNNNNNNNNNNNNNNNNNNNNNNNNNNNNNNNNNNNNNNNNNNNAAAUUUACACUCUCGGGGCAUAAUAAAAUAAUAUAAUUAGGUUUUACUCUUUGUUCGGUAGAAUGAGAAAACGUACUCGUUGCAAAGUUAUACUGUUAGGGCGCAACUGAUUAGUCUAAUGUUGUUCCGUUUUUCGUUCUUAUGAACGUUGACAUCGAUUCGUUCCAAAUUUACACACUCGGGGCAUAAUAGAGCAAUAUAAUUAGGUUUUACUCUUCGUUCGAUAGAUUCAGAAAAAGUACUCGUUGCAAAGUUAUACUGUUAGGGCGCAACUGAGUAGUCUAAUGUUGUUCCGGUUUUUGUUCUUCUGAACGUUGACAUCGAUUUGUUCCAAAUUUACACUCUCGAGGCAUAAUAGAACAAUAUAAUUAGGUUUUACUCUUUGUUCGAUAGAAUAAGAAAAAGUACUCGUUGCAACCUUAUACUGUUUGGGCGCAACUGAGUAGUCUAAUUGUCACGCCCCGCGACCAACCGCCGAUUUGGACCGGGUCGCGGCGCCGCCGACAGACCGCCGAACGGACCGGGAAUUCCCCUGUAUGCGGACAGGGUCUCCCCAGUACGUCCAAGGCGUCGCAAUCCAAACAAUCAACGAAUAUUCCAACAAGA
rnacentral:lncRNA from 1 species